UUGACAAGGCCGGCAUAGUAAUGUCUCGCGACAACAUGACGAGACAGCGUGCGGAGGAAAGCGAAUUACGGUCCCGGAAGUGUGCUUGUUGUUUCUGCUCCGUGGCGGCUAUUUGAAUGCGAAGCGGUGUAGACGUCUUUGGAAGCUCCCGGCUGGAAUAUGCUGACCCGGCUGAAAGCACCAACAGAAGGGAAGCUUGCAAAACAGAUUUGCAAAGUUGUGUUGGAUCAUUUUGAAAAACAGUAUUCCAAAGAACUUGGAGAUGCCUGGGAUACAGUAAGGUUUAUCCUCACAUCUCCCUCGUGCUGGCAAUAUGCUGUCCUGCUCAACAGAUUCAAUUACCCUUUUGAACUGGAAAAGGAUUUACAUUUGAAGGGCUACCACAAGCUCUUUCAAGGAUCUUUACCCUACUAUCCUAAAUCAAUGAAGUGUUACCUCAGCAAAACUCCAUACCGCAUGACUUCAGAAAGACACCAAAUUGGGAACCUGAAAAAAUACUAUCUUCUAAAUGCUGCUUCUCUUCUCCCAGUACUGGCUCUGGAAGUACAGGAUGGGGAAAAGGUUCUGGAUCUGUGUGCUGCUCCUGGAGGGAAAUCAGUAGCCCUGCUACAGUGUGCUUAUCCAGGUUAUCUUCAUUGUAAUGAAUACGAUAGUCUGAGAUUGAGGUGGCUGAAGCGGACGUUAGAAUCUUUCAUCCCACAGCCUUUGAUAAAUACAAUUAAAGUGUCUGAAUUGGAUGGCAGAGAUAUGGGAGAAUCUCAGCCUGAAAGCUUUGACAAGGUGUUAGUUGAUGCUCCAUGUUCAAAUGAUCGAAGUUGGUUGUUCUCUUCUGAUUCACAGAAAGCAGCCUGUAUGAUAAGUCAGAGAAGGAAUUUGCCUGUUCUACAGAUAGAACUCUUAAGACUGAGAGAGAGAGAGACAGAGAGAAAGGUCUUCCUUCUGUUGGUUCACCCCACAAAUGGCCACCACAGCCAGCACGCUGUGCCGAUCCGAAGCCAGGAGCCAGGUGCUUCCUCCUGGUCUCCCAUGUGGGUGCAGGGCCCAAGCACUUGGUCCAUCCUCCACUGCCUUCCUGGGCCACAGCAGAGAGCUGGACUGGAAGAGGAGCAACUGGGACAGAAUCCGGCGCCCCAACCGGGACUAGAACCCUGGGGUGCCGGCGUCACAGGCGGAGGAUUAGCCAAGUGAACUGUGGCGCCGGCCUGGCAGAGUUAGACAGUGAGAGAGAGAGAGAGAGAAAGGUCUUCCUUCUGUUGGUUCACCCCCCAAAUGGACACCACGGCCGGUGUGCUGCGCUGAUCCGAAGCCAGGAGCCAGGUGCUUCCUACUGGUCUCCCAUGUCGGUGCAGGGCCCAAGUAUUUGGGCCAUCCUCCACUGCCACAGCAGAGAGUUGUACUGGAAGAGGAGCAACUGGAACAGAAUCUGGCGCCCCAACAGGGACUAGAACCCAACUGCUGUUUGCCUGAAGAAAUAGUAAACUGAUACAAGCAGAGUAAAAUGAUGAGAAACAGGCAGUGGAAAAAUGAAAGAAAUGAAAACUGCUGAAAAGGAACGAAAGCAGAAACAUUGGAAAGAAACACUAGAAGCCAGCAAUAUAACAUGAAAAUAUGGAAUAAAAAGGAAGAGUCUCCACAUACUUAGGAAAAUGGAAGCAAAAAUGAAAUGUAGAAGAAUUGGACAUUUGUCAUUAGGAGAGACAAUAAAGAAAAAAAUUAGAGACAAAAGCUGCAUGGAGCUCAUAAAAGUUGGCAAAAAGAUAUGGUUUUACCAUUUGUGAAGUUGACUUGCAGUGAUUAAAACGUUUCUAUUCUUUUGUCGAGUUAGGCCAAUAAUUUUUUAUUGUUAUUAUUUAUUUGACAGAUAGAGUUAGACAGUGAGAGAGAGAGACAGAGAGAAAGGUCUUCCUUCUGUUGGUUCACUCCCCAAAUGACCGCAACAGCCGGCGCUGCACCAAUCCGAAGCCAGGUGCCAGGUGCUUCCUCCUGGUCUCCCAUGUGGGUGCAGGGCCAUCCUCCACUGCCUUCCUGGGCCACAGCAGAGAGCUGGAUUUGGGAGAAGAGCAACCGGAACUAGAACCUGGCGCUCAUAUGGGAUGCUGGCGCUGCAGGCAGAGGAUUAACCAAGUGAGCCACAUUGCCAGCCCCCCAAUAUUUUGUUUUUAAAUAUUAAGUUGAUGUUUUUCCUUUUUAAAACCAGACCGUUUGCCCUCCAUGCUAGCUUCCAAUUAGAUUUCCCUUUUGUUACCACAGUGGCAGUGUUGGGGAUAAUAGGCAAUUUUGUACCACAUAUCUCAAUUUUAAAAUAAUGGUCAUGGUUUUCCAUACAGUCAACUUUACUUACUAAAAGUUAUCAACUUAAUUAGAAAUGAGACCACAGUUGCUUAGUAGCCCUCAUUAACAGAUUGUUUUAUUUUCUGUAGGAGUUUAUUUUCUAUGACCCAUGUUAGUAAAUGCCUUAUUUCCAAAUAAAGCCUCUGGCCUCUAUCACUUCCAUCUGUUCUAUAACAUAGUAGUUGGAGGUUGCCUUAGCUCUUUCCUACUCAGAAUUUUUGCAUGUUAGUUGCAGUUUAAUCUAUUCCUUUGCUUUACACUGAAAAGUUCUCUUCAUGGCCAGCCUCUUAAUUAGGGCAACAUUUAUUCAUUCAUCCAUUCAUUUAAUAAAUGUAUUUUAAGAACAUACUUUCCCAUUAUGCUAUUUACAAAAAAUACAGAAAGAACAUAAAAUAACUUUUGUUUGCAAGGAGUUGAACAUUUAUUUAUUGCUUAGGAAAAAUAGCAUAGGGAGGGGCUGGCACUGUGGCGCAGUAGUUAAUCCUCUGCCUGCAAUGCUGGCAUCUCGUAUAGGCACCAGUUCUAGUCGCAGCUGCUCCUCUUCCAAUCCAGCUCUCUGCUGUGGCGUGGGAAAGCAGUAGAAGUUGCCCCAAGUAGAAGAUGUCCUUGGGCCUCUGCACCUGCUUGGGAUACUGGGAAGAAGCACCUGGCUCCUUGUUUCGGAUCGGCACAGCUCCAUCCAUUGUGGCCAUUUGGGGAGUAAACUAAUGGAUGGAGGAAAUUUCUCUGUCUCUCUUUCUCACUGUCUGUAAUUCUAACUCUCAAAUAAAUAAAUAAAAUCUUAAAAAAAAAAAAAAAAAAAGAAAAAUAGGCCGGCGCCAUGGCUCAACAGGCUAAUCCUCUAAUCCUCCACCUAGCAGCGCCGGCACACCACGUUCUAGUCCCAGUCAGGGUGCCGGAUUCUGUCCCGGUUGCCCCUCUUCCAGUCCAGCGCUCUGCUAUGGCCCAGGAGUGCAGUGGAGGAUGGCCCAAGUGCUUGGGCCCUGCACCCCAUGGUAGACCAGGAGAAGCACCUGGCUCCUGCCUUCGGCUCAGCGUGGUGCGCCGGCCGCAGCACGCGUACCGCGGUGGCCAUUGGAGGGUGAACCAAUGGCAAAGGAAGACCUUUCUCUCUGUCUCUGUCUCUCACUGUCCACUUUGCCUGUCAAAAAAUAAAUUAAAAAAAUUUAAAAAAAGGAAAAAUAUCAUAGGGAGAAAUUCCAUAAGGAAUCAGUGAAGCUUACAGACUAUGUGAGCUUUGAAGUGAUUCUUGAAGGAUGAAUAAAAGUAUACCUGUUCUAAAAGUAAUAUUAUGAUUUUUGUGAAAAAUUAAUCAUGUGAGCAUUAGAAACUGCUAAGCAUCUAGAAAGAGAAGACAAAGAAUGGAUUUUAACUUCUUGUCUUGAUAGUUCAAUUACACAAUCUUGUCUAUCUUGCUUUGCAUGUGCAGAUAUUCUGAUAUAUUCUGAUACAUACAUACAUAUAUAUACAUACAGAGGAGGAAUUCCUGUAAGUGACAGAAGGGGUUUGUUAUUAGAACUAGAUCCCAUUCAAUUAUGGAAGCUGGUUAAAUAGUCUACAUAAGUUUAUAUAAAAGUGCCCUACUUGCCCUACUUCUGGUGCUGGAUUUCAAGUCAGCAGGGCCACCAGCUAGCACAUGAAACAGGGGAGGAGAAAGACAUAGUAGGACUCAUGAAGUCAAAGAGGAAAUUCUUCUUUCUAUCACCAGAAUGUACAUAAAUUUUUUACAACUGCUAAGCAUCCAACUUUUCUGAAGUAGAUGAUCUACAAAAGAAUUGGUAUAUCCUUCCACGGAGCUGUACUGGAACCAUGGAGAAGACGAAGGAAGAUCCUGUGAUUGUUAGAAGAAUUGUGGGCACAGCUGCUUCUCUCCACCUAUAAGUUGAACCAGUGGAUCUGCACUGUGUGUACAUUAAAAGCACAUGCACAUUUGAAGGAGUUUUGACAAUUCGAUCAACAACUCUAUCAAGAUACAGAAAAUUUCCAUCAUCCCAGAAAGAGUCCCAAUAAUCCUUGAAAAUCCACUCAUACCUAUCACCAAAAGUAACCAUUAUUCUGAUUUCAAUUUUUUUUUUUUUUAAACUGUAGUUUGGUCUUGCCUGUUCCUGAAAUUUCUAAA